rnacentral:lncRNA from 1 species
GAGACAAUGGUUACAUCUUUUCAUGGAUUCUAAACUCUAUCUGCCAGUCACUUUUUGUGUGUGCAUUCACUGAGGGUGUACAGAAUGGAAUUACAGAGGCAGAAGAAAAGAGGUCUCUGCCAAAUUGAUAGUUUAAAAAACAUUUUAGUGGCCUACUUAACUGUAAUUUGUUUUAGUUUUAAACAAGAAAAACCUCAGCAUGUAAGCAAAGCAGACUGGACUUGAACAGAUAUGGAAUGCAAAGCACACAGGAGAGUCAUGGGGGUCCUGAAGGGGGAUUAGAAGUUGGACAACUUUUUAUGCAAUGAACAACGUUGCAUUGGAGACAGUGGAUUAAACAGUAGUGCAUAUCACUUGGCUGAAGUGACAGGAAUAAAGAACAGAAUGCAUCCACUCCUCCAGUCUCAUUAAGCUGCCUCUUUCUCCUGAAAUUGGAUUGGGAUUCCAGGACACCUCUUAACCUACAGGAAACACUGGAUCUAAAGCUGAAACAGG